UCCUCCGCCACCUCCCCAGCCUCACUGUCCUGUCCUGAAAAUGAGCAGCGCCCAGCGUUCCCUCCUGGAAGGGGGCGGGGUGUUCACGGGGAGGGAGAGGACAAACCCCACUUUGCAUCCAGCGGGGACUUAGUGAUCGGCAGCCGACAGCCGUGACGUGUUGGAGCCAAACCAUAAUCCUGGGAGACAGGCCAGAAUAACUUGGCGAGGUCCUUCCCUCGGGGAUGCAGAUGGACAAGUGACCUGCCCAGGGUCACCCAGCUCACAAGUGGCAAGCUCGUCUAGCCCUGAAGUCUGUGAUUUUGGUCUCCAUUCCAGGCUGCCCCUCUGGGGUUCGGGCCCCACAUCAGCCACUGUACCACGGAAUCGGCCCACAAGGCUGUAAGCUGGGGUCUGUCCUUGGUUCCGUCUUAAGCUAGAGGCUCAGAGAGGUAUUUUCUCCCAGGCAUCCAGAAAAGUCACAGCAAUGUUGUGCAAUGAAUGACUGAAUACACAGUGUCUUCUCCUUUGAGAAACUACCUGGCUCCAUCUCGGCCUUCGCUCCACUGGGACUGGGUUCCUCUCCAAGAUCAGGGCUCGGAGAGUCAAACUCAGUGCAUAACACUGCACCGGACUCCUCACCUAGGGUCUGUAGGUGGCUCUGAGGCUCCAUGACCACCACUGCCAUGAAGUUCCUAACAUUUUGUGUCUAUAUGCAAUUUUCUGGAGAUACAACUCAAAGCUUUCACUAAACUUUCAAACUUCGAAAACUUGAUACUGCUGCAUCAGCGAGGAAUUUCCCUGCCUUCUGACCUCAGUCCAGAUCUUGUGACAUAGCCUGCAUUCACCUGUAUAUCCAUCCAACUCACC